GGCUUAGAGUUUGAUCCUGGCUCAGAUUGAACGCUGGCGGAAUGCUUUACACAUGCAAGUCGGGCGGCAGCAUGGACUUCGGUCUGAUGGCGAGCGGCGAACGGGUGUGUAAUAUAUCGGAACAUAUCCGGAAGUGGGGGAUAACGUAGCGAAAGUUACGCUAAUACCGCAUAUGCCCUGAGGGGGAAAGGGGGGGAUCGCAAGACCUCUCGCUUUCGGAGUGGCCGAUAUCGGAUUAGCUAGUUGGUGAGGUAAAGGCUCACCAAGGCGACGAUCCGUAGCUGGUCUGAGAGGACGGCCAGCCACACUGGGACUGAGACACGGCUCAGACUCCUACGGGAGGCAGCAGUGGGGAAUUUUGGACAAUGGGGGCAACCCUGAUCCAGCCAUGCCGCGUGAGUGAAGAAGGCCUUCGGGUUGUAAAGCUCUUUCAGACGGAAAGAAACGGUCACGGCCAAUACCCGUGACUAAUGACGGUACCGUAAGAAGAAGCACCGGCUAACUACGUGCCAGCAGCCGCGGUAAUACGUAGGGUGCGAGCGUUAAUCGGAAUUACUGGGCGUAAAGCGUGCGCAGGCGGCUUUGCAAGACAGACGUGAAAUCCCCGGGCUUAACCUGGGAACUGCGUUUGUGACUACAAGGCUGGAGUGUAGCAGAGGGGGGUAGAAUUCCACGUGUAGCAGUGAAAUGCGUAGAGAUGUGGAGGAAUACCGAUGGCGAAGGCAGCCCCCUGGGCUAACACUGACGCUCAUGCACGAAAGCGUGGGGAGCAAACAGGAUUAGAUACCCUGGUAGUCCACGCCCUAAACGAUGUCAACUAGGUGUUGGGGAAGGAGACUUCUUUAGUACCGCAGCUAACGCGUGAAGUGACCG
rnacentral:rRNA from 1 species